rnacentral:lncRNA from 1 species
AUGAUGGCUUACUGCGUUGUACUGUUCUUGGUUGCUUGCGCUCCCAUAACCUCCUGGAUGAAGCCAGAGGAGCAACAGCACAGCAGCACCAUAUCCUUCCUUAGAUGUAUUCUGCCUGGAGCUUGGCACACUGACAUUAUUCCUGGCAUUCCUUCCUUCCCCAUAGGACAGACUGGACGAACUCGGGCUGGACCAGAACUGCCGCAGCACUGUUCUCUGUUGCUGAACAUAAAGGCAAUGAAAAUUGAGCUGGGAAGAGUACAGGGGAGGAAAAACGACCAUAGCCAGUGAGUGUCCACCCUGGGUAACUGGGGUUUGUGGCUGUUUCUGCCCCACUGUGUUGUGUACAGUGAGCCUGGUAGCAGGACCUCCUUCCCAAAGUGGUCCCACGGUCCUCUCCCU